CAGCAAUGCCUGGAGGAAGCCAUCUUGACUGCCUGAACUAGCUCUGAGACAGAUAUGUGUCAAGCAGUUUAUCAGCAGAGGAGGAAAUGAGAUUGCCAUGUAUAGUGUGAAGCCACUCUUGUUGAAAUUUGGAUCUACAAAUGGUUUUUGAACACCUGCACAAUUCACUCACUGGAGUGAUCUACAGUUCACUUUGCAGCAAACCAGAUCUUAUUAAGUGUUUCCAGAUAGAAAGAGAAGGGAAGCCAGAAAGUCGUUUGCGCUCUCAGCUUCCUUCCAGUUUUGUGCUUCAGCUGC